UACGGAGGAUCCGAGCGUUAUCCGGAAUUAUUGGGUUUAAAGGGUGCGUAGGCGGCUCGUUAAGUCAGGGGUGAAAUACAGCGGCUCAACCGUUGCAGUGCCUUUGAUACUGACGAGCUUGAAUCUGGCCGAAGACGGCGGAACGGGACAAGUAGCGGUGAAAUGCAUAGAUAUGUCCCAGAACCCCGAUUGCGAAGGCAGCUGUCUAGCCCAGCAUUGACGCUGAUGCACGAAAGCGUGGGGAUCGAACAGG
rnacentral:misc_RNA from 1 species